GGGUGUGUUUCCUAGCGGCAAUGGAGGCAGACUGUAAAUCUGCUGCGCUAUGCGAUUCGAUGGUUCGAGACCAACUACACUCACCA
rnacentral:tRNA from 1 species